GUUUGCAUUUGUCCACCACAAAGAGACUGCAAAUGCCAAAAGGCCCGAGUUCACUUUGAAAGUCCAAACCCACAAACUCUGAUUGGCUUCUACACUUGGCCAGAUAUAUUCUCCAGGGCUCCAGACCUUACAUCAGUGGGGCACCAUGAUGUCAUAAUGAAGAGUGUGUACUGUGGGGAAAGACUACCUGAAUUCAAAUCCUUCAACUGUAUCUUUGAAUAAAUUGCCUCAUCUUACUUAGCCUCAGUACUUCAUCUUCUAAGGAGGCGGUAAGAAUACCAACUUCCUUGUGAUACUGUAUGUGGAGUAUUUAGAAACCUGACACACAAUAAGUAAUCUAAGAGAAGAUUGGGGAGAAGUAACUUUUUGCUUCUGGAACUGAUGAAAGUAGAUGAUCCAGGCACUCCACCCUGCCUCACUGCCUAACUCACAGCAACUCAAAAUCUCUUGUGCCUACUGCCCUUGAUAUACUCCACGAUUCUUCCAUCAACUGCAGAGUCUGUAUUUUGAAAACCUCUGCCACCACCAGUGAACAGACCUGGACUAGCUUUCUGGAGAGACAUGAGUUAUAUUGGAGAAGAGCUAAGAUAUCUAAACACGGACAUUCUAACCUACACAGCCCCAACUACCCUUCCAGCAAGAAACUACAUUUCCCAGACUUCUUUGCCAACUAGCUUCAGGUAGGUUGAAGAGCAAAAGGAAGGCGGAAGCUAGAGUAGCUGUCCCUUUCUUGGUCAGCUACGGAUGGAACUCCAGCAACACCCUCAUUUGCUCUAGCUGCCACCAAACAGGUCUGCCCUCUGUGGUACGGACUCCUGGCAGGUCUGACUUCCUGAACCUCAAAGUAUCAUUUCCGCUCUGCUUCUCGACCUUGCCAAAAUCUCUGGAGUCUGGGGUACAAAAGACUGAUAUUUUGCUUGAGGAGGGGUUCUAGGGAGGACACACACAUGUUAUCCUGACAAACACAUUACUAUAAAAAGCUUAUCAUAGAUAGCCACAAAGCAGAAAGAAGUACCAUUUCUCUCCAAAAUGAAAGAAUGGAACAUUCUCCAGAAGAAAAAACAGAAUGCAGGACAAGGCUUGAUUGAUGAUGCUUUUUGUUUGGAAGUGCAAUUUCAGGACAGCAAAAAAGAGAAAAAAGAAGUGCUUUCACAUUCAUAGUGCAUUUAAUCAUCUCAACAGAAAUAAAGGAAGUAAGUGAUCUAAUUGAAAUUUUGAGAAGCUGCUUUUAAAUACCAUUUUUGGAUGUCCUUAGUGUUUCCAUGAUCAAUAAAUGAGUGAAGGCACUCAGGCAGGUGAAUGGCCGGCCCAGGUCUAUGUAGUGGGAGAGUGGCACAGCGGGAUUCAGAAUCAGGCUGAACUGUUGAGCCGAUGGGCCUUCCCCAUAACUGCAGACUGGCAGCACACGGCUUCUAGAGGGAUCUCUGGGACAAGGAUUAUUAUUCUAGUUUUGAAGAAAAAGGAAAUAGAUGCAUUGGAGAGUUUACUAAUCUGCCUAAAAACAAACUAGCAGAUCAAAUCCAAUUAUGAAAAGAAAGAAAAAAAUAACAAAAAUCAAAUGAUCAUAGUGGGUUCGGGAAAAGCAUUUGACAAAAUACAACAGCCAUUUAUAAUUUUUAAAAAAGCACAAAACUCAGCAAACAAGGAAUAGAGGGGAACUUCCUCAACUUGAAAAAGAACAUCUGCAAAAACUUCAGCAAACUUCAUAUUUAAUGGCAAGAAACUCAAAGAUUUCCCACUAAGAUUUGGAAUAGGCAAGGAUGUCCCUUCUUGCCAGUUCCUUUUAACAUUGUAUUAGAAGUCCUAGCUAAUGCAUGAAGAGAAAAAAGGAAAUAAAAGGUAUACAGAUUGAGAAGGAAGAAACAAAUGCUUUAUUUGCAAAUGACAUGAUUGUCCAUGUAGUAAAUACAAAAGAAUCAACAAAAAUACUUUGAACUAAUAAACUAUUGUAGCAAGGUUGCAGGAUUAACAAAGUUAAUCUGCAAAAGUCAAUUGCUUUCUUGUAUGCCAGCAAUUAGCAAGUGGAAUUUGAAAUUACAAACACAGUAACAUUUAUAUCAUCAUCCCUUCCCCAAUGAAAUACUUAGGUAUUAGCCUAACAAAAUACGUACAAGAUUUGUAUGAAGAAGACUACAAAACUCUGAAGAGAGAAAUCAAAGAAUAAUGAAAUAAAUGGGCAGUUACUUCACAUUCAUUGAUAGAAAGACAAUAUCAUCAAGAUGUCUGUUCUUCCCAACUUGAUCUAUAGAUUCAAUGCAAUCUGAAUGAAAAACAUAGGAAAUUAUUUUGUGGACAAAUCAAUUUAAAGUUUCUAUGGAGUGGCAAAAGACCCAAAACAGCCAACACAAUAUUGGCAGAGAAAAAAAAAAGUUGGAGGAAUGACACUAUCCAACUUCAAUAUUUAUUGUAAAGCUACCUGAAUCAAGAUAGUGUGGUAUGGGUCAAAGAAUAAACAGAGUAAUAGAACAGAAUGGAGAGCCCAGAAAUAGGCCCACACAGAUAUAGAGAACUGAUCUUUGACAAAGGAGCAAAGACAAUAAAAUAGAACAAGCAUGGUCUUUUCAACAAAUAGCACUAAAACAACUGAACAUCUCUUUGCAAAAAAACUGAGCCAAGACACAGACUUUACAGCCUUUACAAAAAUUAACUUAAAAUGGAUGGUAGACAUAAAUGUAAAACACAAAACUAUAAAAUUCCUAGAACAAUAGGAGAAAAUAUAUAUGAUCUUGGGUUUGGCCAUCACUUUUUAGAUGCAACACUAAAGAUAAGAUCCAUGAAAGAACUAAUUGAUAAUUCAGUUUUUCCGUAAACCUAAAACUGCCAUAAAAAAUAAAGUCUGUUUAAAACAAGCAAACAAACAAACAAACAAACAAACCUGCAACAGAUGAAGAGUGGAUGGGGAUGAGGUUUAAAAAAAAGAAAAGAAAAGAAAAAGAGUAGCAGACCCCUAGAGAGAGAGCACUGAAUGGGGACCUGACCUUGGAGAAUUGCUUCUAGACCCUGCUUUCCAAUUAGUUAGCAUUACCUUGGGAAAGUAGCAACUUCCCUAGGCUGCAUUUCCUCUUAAGAAAGUAAGCAUGUAGAAUAGGUGAUCUCUAAGCCUCUUUUAACCCUCCCACAUGCUCAGUUUUGGAACAAAGUAAUCAAGGAUACUCUUGGGGGGCUCACGUAGGUGCUAGGAGUCCUGAGGAACUCAAUGAGUCCUCUUGCCCCAAAUUAUUACCUUCUUUACUUGGUGUGUCCAAUAGUAGUGACUCACUUUUUGUGUUAUAAAGUCUAUGUCUCUGCAUAUAGUAAAAGCAAAUCCGGGGUGCCUGUGUGGCUCAGUCAGUUAAGCAUUUAACUUCAGCUCAAGUCAUGAUCUCACAGCUCCUGAGUUGAAGCCCUGCAUAGGGCUCUGUCCUGCAUAGGGCUCUGUGUGGCUCAGAGCCUGGAGUCUGCUUUGGAUUCUGUGUCUCCCUCUCUCUGCCCCUCCCCUGCUUGCGCUUCUCUCUCUUUCUCUCUCUCUCUCUCUCUCUCUCUCUCUCAAAAAUAAACAGUAAAAAAAAUAAUAAUAAUAAAAAGCAGAUUAAUCCCUGCUUUCUAAUACAACUACCCUUAAGAAUUAUAUCUUCAGGCAUAGGUUAGUUAGUGUGCAUUUCGUCAGGGCAAAUCCAGUAUGUAUCAGAGCAAAAUCUAGUAUGUAUCAGGUGUUCAAUAUAUUUGUUAAGUAAAUGGGUGGAUGAAUCAAUAAUUUAAAGGAGACGGGUGCAGAGGUGUGUAGAGCUGUAGGUGCACAGAAUUGUUUAGAGUCAUGGAAAGAGGCAUGAGCCCUAGAACACGGAAUAUAUGGAGAGAAGCUCCAGAGAUAGUUUUGCCUGCUUCACACUUAUGCUUGAGACUUGCCCUGGGAACCCAUUCCAUCCCCAUUUUUCAUCAGGCAUUCAUUUAUUAAAGGGAUGCCUGGGUGGCUCAGUGGGUUAAGCAGCUGACUCUUUUC